GUAGAGCUGUGGUUAGUUCCUUUGUGUGGUUUAACUGUUGGCCCAGGUUUCC
rnacentral:sRNA from 1 species